rnacentral:rRNA from 1 species
UACGUAGGUGGCGAGCGUUGUCCGGAUUUAUUGGGCGUAAAGCGCCCGCAGGCGGCUUGGUAAGUUUGGGGUGAAAUCUCCCGGCUCAACUGGGAGGGUGCCUCGAAAACUGUCAGGCUUGAGGCAUGGAGAGGGAUGCGGAAUUCCCGGUGUAGUGGUGAAAUGCGUAGAUAUCGGGAGGAACACCAGUGGCGAAGGCGGCAUCCUGGCCAUGUCCUGACGCUCAGGGGCGAAAGCGUGGGGAGCAAACCGG